UACGUAGGGAGCGAGCGUUGUCCGGGUUUAUUGGGCGUAAAGAGCUCGUAGGCGGUCUGUCGCGUCUGCUGUGAAAAUCCAGGGCUCAACCCUGGACCUGCAGUGGGUACGGGCAGACUAGAGUGCGGUAGGGGAGAUCGGAAUUCCUGGUGUAGCGGUGAAAUGCGCAGAUAUCAGGAGGAACACCGGUGGCGAAGGCGGAUCUCUGGGCCGUAACUGACGCUGAGGAGCGAAAGCAUGGGGAGCGAACAGG
rnacentral:rRNA from 1 species